rnacentral:lncRNA from 7 species
UUGGCUGGCUUUGGAUCCAGAAAACAGCUGCUGAUUAGAGGCUGCGUCUUCAGGCUGAAUUUAUUACAUAUUUUUCAGCAGCAGGGAUUCUAGGAGGAAGCUUCCGUUUGGGUUUCUUGAGCACGGUUUAUUUUUAUUCAGAGGAAUAACAGAGGAAGGAUUUGUUCCGGCUGGAGCAUGCUCACAACCUGCGAGAUCUCCCAUUAUUAAACUGCCUACUUUGGGGCUUUAAUGUGCUAAUGAAAGAAUGCAAAUAGCACCGCCUGAGCCGAACAUCUCAUAAAGACGGGAGCAGCGCGGAGCGCGGAUCGCUGCCGGCCCCCACCCCAGGUGGAGUAGCAUCCUCAGGAAUUAUUUCAUUAGAAGAUACAUCAAUAAUAGUACCAGAUACAUAUGAAGACAGCAUCAGAGCAGAAAUUUUCUGCUCAAACGCCUUAACCAAGAGAAGGAGCUGAUGCACUUCCUAUGCUGAGUGCUCGGAUGUGGAGUUGGGUCCUGAUGAGCUCUGCCAUGUGCAAUGUCUGCUUUCAAUCCCCGCGAUGUGCAAACAAAGCAGUUUUGUGCAGAUCUGACUUGGGGCAGCAUUUUAGAGCUUUCCUGUGUUAUAACUGCUUUAACUUGCAAGAAAGCUAAGAACAAGUUUUGGUUUCAAUUUUAGAUAUGGCUGUUUUCUCAGGCUUAAGUGUUGGUCUGCUAACAGGUUGUUCACAGUGAGGCUGCUAAAAAGUUCCAAUCUCCUGCAUUUUAUUCACUUUGCUUAUUAAUGCAUUUAUUCAUAGAAGCAGUGAGGGCUUGUUGGAAGGUGGACUGCUUUUCCUUUCGACUUGCCACACGGAAUUCUUUUGCAGAUGGUAUCAUUCCUACUUCAUACUUAAAGCAAGAAGCAUGACUGCUAGCUCAGCACCUGAGAAUAUCUGGUGGAAGAUUCUGGGAUUUUUACACUUAAGAGCACUCAUUU